GAAAAGUAACUGAGACAAAUACUGACAGGAAUUCUUUGCAUUGGUACUUGUUUCCUACAACCUACAGAGUUAUAAAAUAGCUCAAGUACCACGAAGAACACAAAUUCCAUAGAAUCAGAUAUCUAGGAGCCAGGGUGGUGGCUCACACCUGUGAUCCCAGCACUUGGGAGGCUGAGGUUGAGGAUCGCUGUUAGUUCUGUUAGUUCGAGGCCAGCCUGGGCUACAUAGUGAGACCCUGUCUCAAAACAAAACAAAAAAACCAAACAGAAAAAAAGAAUCAGAUAACUAGGAGUGGUAUACAGCACGCAGUUGAGAAUAAUUUGACUUGUUGGGUUUGUGCUACAGCCAACUGCAUGAGGAGGAGGGAACAGACAAUUCUACAGCUUGGGCUAGCUGUGAAACAAUUGUAUUCCUGUUCUGAUUUGUUUGAGCUCCCCUUAUUCCCAUACUUAGAGUUGCUGUUGCUCACUAAUGCUGAGCAAGUUGAGUCUUGUGUCUUUGGCACUAAAGAGGAGUUGUGACAUCAUAUGGCUUCUGAUUUUCUUCUUAUAAUGUGUUUGUUUGUUUUUUUGAGACAGUCUCGGUAUGGAGUUCAGGCUGACCUCAAACUCACAGUGAUACCCCUGCCUCAGCCUCCUGAGUGCUGGGAUUACAGUUGUGUACUACCACACCUGGCCCUAUCUUUAUUUUGAGACAGAGUCUUGCUAAAUUGCCUGGACUGGCCUGAUACUUUCCAUCUUCCUGUAUCAGCCUCCUAUAAGUAGCUGUGAUUAUAGGGAUUGAACUUGGGUCCUUGAGCUUGUGAGACAGGGAUCGGAACCACUGAGCUAAAUCCCCCCCCCCAUUGUCUUCUAUAGGUAUUGUACAAAUUUACAUUCUGAGUAAGUGCAGUAGUGUACAGCUGUAGUAAUCCUAGUUAUUCAAGAGGCUGAGGAAGGAGGAUCAUUUGAGCCCAGGAAUUCCACAGCACCCUGAGAAACAAUGGAACUCCAUUUCCCUCCCCCAUUACAUCCUUGCUUAUAGAUGAUCUUUUUUCCACACCCUUGUUACCAGUAUGUAUACUCAUCAUUUUGGAUGUUUGCUAUUUGCUAGUCUGAGGGUAAAAAAAAAUGUAUAGUUUUUAAUUUGCAUAAAAUAGGU
rnacentral:lncRNA from 1 species